rnacentral:lncRNA from 1 species
AUUGCCACCUCCUGGCUGAGUUCUUCAGGCAGAAGCACAGAGCAAAUAUCACCUGCCGUUCCCCUGCUAUUUCAGUAGGUGCACUCUGGAUUCCUGUUGGUAGCUUGCAGAGGUGCAUUUUGACUGUGGGAACAAUCACGCCUAUGUAGGACAGAAGAGUGUCUUCCUGUAGUGUCUGUUGAGUAUCUUAUCUUGCUCCUCU